UACGGGGGGGCAAGCGUUGUUCGGAAUUACUGGGCGUAAAGGGCUCGUAGGCGGCCAACUAAGUCAGACGUGAAAUCCCUCGGCUUAACCGGGGAACUGCAUCUGAUACUGGAUGGCUUGAGUUCGGGAGAGGGAUGCGGAAUUCCAGGUGUAGCGGUGAAAUGCGUAGAUAUCUGGAGGAACACCGGUGGCGAAGGCGGCAUCCUGGACCGGCACUGACGCUGAGGAGCGAAAGCCAGGGGAGCAAACGGG
rnacentral:rRNA from 1 species